rnacentral:tRNA from 1 species
GGAGAGGUGGCAGAGUGGUUGAAUGCGGCAGUCUCGAAAACUGUUUGGGGGUCACACCUCACGAGGGUUCGAAUCCCUCCCUCUCCG